UACGGAGGGUGCGAGCGUUGUCCGGAAUCAUUGGGCGUAAAGGGCGCGUAGGUGGCCCGGUCAGUCCGUGGUGAAAGCGCGGGGCGCAACCCCGCGUCGGCCAUGGAUACUGCUGGGCUUGAGCACUGUAGAGGCAGGCGGAAUUCCGGGUGUAGCGGUGGAAUGCGCAGAUAUCAGGAAGAACACCUAUGGCGAAGGCAGCUCUCUGGGACGGUACUGACGCUGAGACGCGAAAGCGUGGGGAGCGAACAGG
rnacentral:rRNA from 1 species